ensembl:lncRNA
CGGGCCCCUGACGUCACCCGAUUCGCCAGGAAAUGAACUUUUUAAUAAUCCAAGGAGGGUGGAAAGCCCUCGGUCCCCUCGGCUCGGGGGGCGCCCAGCCAGGCGGGCUCAGCUUCUCGGGCGCGCCCCCGUCACCCCCUCCCAGGUCCUCUGCGGACAGCGCUGAGGGGGCGCGCGCACGGCAGGGCCUCCUCCGGCCUCUGCGACUGGCGUCCAUCUGUCUGUCCGAGGCUCUGGAACAGGAGAGUCUAAAAGCCUCUCGGCCCCGGGAAUAACCCUAUUUUCGACAAUGGUACCCCAUGUGGCCGAAUUCCAUGACCGUGCAGAGUUCCAGGAGGAGAACGCGGUGCGCAGAGGAAGCUGCCUUGGCCGAGUCGGUGCCACGGCUGGCAAGGCGGGGGUCUCCCAGCACCACCCCUGAGAGCAGAUUAUCGCAGCCCUUUCAGAGCGCACACAACAAAUGCGCCCGCCAUCGAAUGCAGCAUUUACCACCACAGAUCCGCGCGCCGAUGGGCAGGCUGAUAGCGUCCGCGGGGGGCUCGCCGGGGCGAGUGUGCGCCCCGGCUCUGCCUGGUGUGUUUGGAGGAACACGUGGGUAUGCCAGCGAGUGGACCCAGAGCGAGCAAGGAUGUGAGUGUGCGAGUAAGUGUGCCUCGAGAAAGUUCACGUGUGCGAGACCCUGCGCACACACAUGGUGAGUGUUCGUGGCGAGUGCCAGAGAAGAGGCCGGCGAGAGGCAGGCGGGAAAGGAUGCUGCACGUGACCUCGUGGGAAGCACGCUGCUAGUGUGUGCAGUGUGCUAGCCGCGUGCACGAGACAAUUUACAGUGAGGGCCUACAAGUACCUAGCUUUCGAGGAUGCUGUUUGGGGGUGCG